rnacentral:lncRNA from 1 species
AGCUUACGCCGCGAACUGCGGCAAUCUGUACCGAAAUCGGCAUUUUCUUCAAUAUAUAUCUUCGCGUAGCCUCACCGUAUCGCCAAACCGACUUCGCCAGCGCGUUCGCAUACCUAACAAUUAGGUUUAUACAGAAUCAAUUUAGAUCAAACCCCUUUAUAUAGCAAAACUCUCUUUUUGAGCCCUAACAUGCUACUAUUGCAAGAAAUCACCAAAUUGAUUCAUGAUUCAAGCAAAUAGCAUUUAUUUAGCACCUAAGGGUUCCUCUAA